GACGAACGCUGGCGGCGUGCUUAACACAUGCAAGUCGAACGGAAAGGCCCUGCUUUUGUGGGGUGCUCGAGUGGCGAACGGGUGAGUAACACGUGAGUAACCUGCCCUUGACUUUGGGAUAACUUCAGGAAACUGGGGCUAAUACCGGAUAGGAGCUCCUGCUGCAUGGUGGGGGUUGGAAAGUUUCGGCGGCUGGGGAUGGACUCGCGGCUUAUCAGCUUGUUGGUGGGGUAGUGGCUUACCAAGGCUUUGACGGGUAGCCGGCCUGAGAGGGUGACCGGCCACAUUGGGACUGGGAUACGGCCCAGACUCCUACGGGAGGCAGCAGUGGGGAAUAUUGCACAAUGGGCGGAAGCCUGAUGCAGCAACGCCGCGUGCGGGAUGACGGCCUUCGGGUUGUAAACCGCUUUCGCCUGUGACGAAGCGUGAGUGACGGUAAUGGGUAAAGAAGCACCGGCUAACUACGU
rnacentral:rRNA from 1 species